rnacentral:tRNA from 1 species
GUGGCUACGUAGCUCAGUUGGUUAGAGCACAUCACUCAUAAUGAUGGGGUCACAGGUUCGAAUCCCG